GUGCUUAUUUACUGAUCUUGGAGAGGACGAGGUUCGGCUCCAUAGCACCCACAUUCUCGGGGCUCACAACUGCCUGUUACUCCAGUUCUAAGAGAUCGGGUGACUUUCAGCCUCUAUGCAGCCUUCUGCAAGCAUGGCAUGCACAAGAACCCGAGAAAAUUCAGCUGUGGCGCCAUCUGCUGGACAAUAUGAUGUUUUGCAAGAGCUUGCAGGUCGAAUUAAUAAGGUGUCGCGGUUGGCAGUGAAAACCUCGCUUUUUGCCCAGGAAAUAGCGUCAAGGUGGUGCUGUCUAUGUGCUGAGUUCUACAGCCUGAAUGGUAUGGAGCCAAUUGUGCUAAGAUCUGCAGCCCUGUUACAGUAGGAAGUAGGAAGUUCUCAAGUUCAAGGCCUGCCUGUUUACAGAAACCAUAGCUAGUAUGGUAUAUGUAAAUCCCUAAUGAAGGCUCGGGGUCCAAAAUGCUGCUCAGGUCAGAGAAGGCAAGGGCUCUGGUGGGUGGGCUGGGGCAUGGCUCAGUUGGUAGAGUGCUUGCCUAACCUGCAGGAGGCCUGGGUUUAACCCAGCACCACCCAAGCCAGGUAUGAUGGCACAGAGUUGUAAUCCUGGCUCUCAGAAAGCAGAAGAGUUCAAGGCCAGCCUUGUCUAGAGAGCCUGACCCUGUCUCAAAUAGAAAAAUAAGAGAAAUGAACAAAAGCCCAAACUUAUUUUCUGAGGGUUUAAUAAAACAUGUUCUUGUAUCACA